rnacentral:rRNA from 1 species
GCGGUGGAUGAUGUGGUUUAAUUCGAUGCAACGCGAAAACCUUACCACCUUUGACAUGGCAGGAAUCCUGAAGAGAUUUGGGAGUGCUCGAAAGAGAACCUGCACACAGGUGCUGCAUGGCUGUCGUCAGCUCGUGUCGUGAGAUGUUGGGUUAAGUCCCGCAACGAGCGCAACCCUUGCCAUUAGUUGCUACGAAAGGGCACUCUAAUGGGACUGCCGGUGACAAACCGGAGGAAGGUGGGGAUGACGUCAAGUCCUCAUGGCCCUUAUAGGUGGGGCUACACACGUCAUACAAUGGCCGGUACAGAGGGUAGCCAACCCGCGAGGGGGGAGCCAAUCCCACAAAGCCGGUCGUAGUCCGGAUCGGAGUCUGCAACUCGACUCCAUGAAGUUGGAAUCGCUAGUAAUCGCAGAUCAGCACGCUGCGGUGAAUACGUUCCCGGGCCUU